rnacentral:lncRNA from 1 species
CGAGAAUCAUGCACGUGGUUAAAUCUGCUGUUGUUUAAAGGUAUCAUCUUUCAACAAUGUGCAUCACGUGUUGUCCAAGAGAGGUGUUUAGGUGUACUUGUUGUAUACCUUUUGGCAAAGUUUUGUGGCAUGUUAGCACUGGUCAUCUUUUGUUAGAAAAAUAAAACAUCUGAACCAAUAAUUCUCCCAUAUUGAAAAAAUGUGUUUCAUACACAAAUUCAACUUCAAAGGUAAUACCAAAUAUUUUUUAUCAUCGGGUAGAUUAAGUAAUCACAAAUUCAUUCAAAUAUAAUAAUAUUAAUGCAAAAUCCAUGAAACAAAUUUUAGUUGGUAUCUUUUAUAACAAACAAACUCCUACCUGCCAUACAUUGAGAGCAACUACACAAAGAUGAUGACACUGGCGGUAUAUGAAAUCUUUGGCCAAUAACUGAUAUAACAGAAAUAUAGUUAGAGGGGUAUUAUUGUAAUUAGGUUAUAUGGCUAUAUAAGGGAUUGUUUAGCUAUCAUUUCUUUAAGUUCUUUUGUAUACAUUUUCUCCAUUUUAAUCAAUAGAAUCUUUCUGGUUUUCUCUCUAUCAUCUUCAUCUUCCUUUGUACAAAUUCUCCAUCUUUUACAAUGUAGUUAAUAUGGUAUCAGAGCCACCAAGCUCACGCCAUGGAUCUUGGUGGUUGAUUUCCGCUUCUAUUUUUCUUCAUUACUUUCUUUCAUUUCCGCGUAUUCAUAGUUCUUAUCUUUUGUUUGGUCUCUGGAUUUUUCUUCUGGGGUCUCUGGCUGCUCGAUGGUUCUUUAUUCCCUAUAUCCAUGGAGUGGAUUCGCGGUAACGAAAUCGGCCGUGGAAGCUUCGUCACCAUCUACACAGCAAAACCCACCAACCCAUAUUCUCAUCUUCAGCCGCUGGUGGCCGUGAAGGUGUCUACUCUGAUUUGCUCAAGAACAAGAAGCAAGUCCUCGACCAAAUCGGCUCCUGCCCACAAAUCAUCCGCUGCUUCGGCGCCGAUCACUCAGUCGAGAACGGCGAGGAGUUCUACAACUUGGUUCUUGGUUCUGGAGUACACCAGCGGUGGCACUCUGGCGGACGCUUGCCGGAAUCUGAUUCGUAUCAGGUGAUAUUGUUCAUAUUUUCUGCAUCUGGGUUCUUCAUUUUCGGAAUCGACGACGGGUUCUUCGACACCGACUCGGAUUCUCAUUCCAGAUCCGUUGUGGAUCUUCAUCCCCACCGCCCUCCGCCAACGGCACAGCCACAGCUGGGUUUCCCGGAGCUUCCUGGUUUGAAGAAGCGAGUUUUCGUACAGCUGGGUUUUCAAGAUUCAAGUUCUCAGUCUUGCUGGUCAACCAUUCUUUCUCUUUCCAAAUCUCGAAUUAUUCAGUCCUGGGAUUGUAUUAUCCGACUCUGUUCUUAAAGAAACCAAAUUAGUGAUCCUUUAUCGCCGGAAUCAUCUUGCCGAGAAAGUCACAGCUUUCUCUUCAACGGAGAUUUUGUAGAAGACAAAGCAUUCCGCAAUCUCAACAACCAUUACGAUGGCGUUUGCAUUGGAAGAAGAGCAGUUGCAGAACUUAAUCCACAGAGAGAUCGAAUUUGGGUUUGAGAAAGACGAAGAUUUGGUGAUUCCCGCCUGGGUUUUGGACGCUCGAUUGGAAUCCAUCACAUGGGUUCUCCAGAGACGAACGGGUCUUGGAUUUCAUCCUAGAACAGCAUAAUUGUGCAUGACAUACUUUGAUCGGUUCAUUUGCACUGUUGAUUAUCUACUUCUUCAUUCAUCUUGGUGGUGUUUUCAGAGCAGUUUUCUGACUUCGAUUUUCUGUGAUUUUGAUCCGUGCUCUGUUUUCUGGUAUGGCAGAACGUUUAGACUAUGUGCAGCCUAAGUGUUUGACGAAUUGCCCCUAUUUUCUUCCUCUGGAUACUUUUCUCGAAUUUGAUUUGGGAUUUUGGUUAUGUGUUUUUUUCUGAAUUAGUAAAUGAAUUCUGGUAUAUGGGUUGUGCGAUAGAUCAUCGAAGUGUUGAUAGCAGUCAUUUGGAAUUGUUUGGUGAUCUGCAACGCUUAUUUCUUGAAGCUGUGGUCUUUGAUGUACUUUCGAGGUUUAAUUGAAGUGAAGCUGUGGUCUUGAUGUGUAGAUCUCUGCAAGUAUUAGUUUUUUUUUUUCUUGUCAAUUUAAAGCAGAAAGUGUCAUUCUUUCUAUGAAUCUUGGAGUUUCAUUCUCCUAAGUUGCAGUAUGAUUUGGAGUUUCAUUCUCCUCAGUUGCAGUAUGAUUUGUGUUCAUGGAGUGUCAGUCUCCUAAGUUGCAGUAUGAUUUGUGUUCAUGGAGUGUCAGUCUCCUUAUUUGGUAUUUUUCGUAGAAGUAUGAGAUUUGUGUUGUGCUUUGGAGUGUCAUUCUCCUUGGCUGAGUUGGUUUCUUGGAGUGUCAUUCUCCUUGGUAGAUUUAGUUUCUUGGAGUGUCAUUCUCCGUGGUAGUUUAGUUUCUUGGGAGUGUCAUUCUCCUUGGUAGAUUUAGUUUCUUGGCAGUGUCAACUAUGGCUUCUCAGUUCACAGUCGAAAAGUUGGGUAUGUUCAGACCAAGACCAUGUAGCACAACUCCCUAUUUGUGGUACCAUUCAGUGUGUUGAAUAAUAAGAGUGCAAAGGUUAGACAGCAAGCUGCAGAUCUUAUUUCAAGAAUUGUUGUUGUCAUGAAGUAGUGCCAAGAGGAGGAACUGGUGGGUCAUCUUGGUGUUGUCUUGUAUAAGUAUUUGGGAGAAGAGUAUCCAGAAGCAACUAACAGUCCAAUCAAAGCCUUUCCUGUAUCUUCCGAUUCACAUCAGGUGCGGUAACGAAUGCUUCUGAGCAUUUGGAAAUUAAAUCAGCCUAUAUCCAAGAAGAUGACCAGUCGAUCAUCCCAGGCUAUCUCAAAUAUCUAGUUCAAACUUCACUUGGAUACUCCAAGUUUAGUUUGAGGGGGGAGUAAUAACUGAUAUAACAGAAAUAUAGUUAGAGAGGUAUUAUUGUAAUUAGGUUAUAUGGCUAUAUAAGGGAUUGUUUAGCUAUCAUUUCUUUAAGUUCUUUUGUAUACAUUUUCUCCAUUUUAAUCAAUACAAUCUUUCUGGUUUUCUCUCUAUCAUCUUCAUCUUCCUUUGUACAAAUUCCCCAUCUUUUACAAUGUAGUUAAUAUAAUAACUGAUAUAACAGAAAUAUAGUUAGAGGGGUAUUAUUGUAAUUAGGUUAUAUGGCUAUAUAAGGGAUUGUUUAGCUAUCAUUUAUUUAAGUUCUUUUGUAUACAUUUUCUCCAUUUUAAUCAAUACAAUCUUUCUGGUUUUCUCUCUAUCAUCUUCAUCUUCCUUUGUACAAAUUCUCCAUCUUUUACAAUGUAGUUAAUACCUGCCAUACAUUGAGAGCAACUACACAAAGAUGAUGACACUGGCGGUAUAUGAAAUCUUUGGCCAAAGAUCAUCAUAAAACUUUCCAAUUAGAUCAACAAAAUAAAAUAAAAUAUCUAGAGCUAAAUCUAGUGAAAAAAAAAAUUAAUGGAUAAAAUAUUAACAUGGAAAGCAAUAUCAAUACCACUACUCUAGUAGAACAUGAAUUUGUAGAUGCAAACAGUUAGACAAAUGACCACAGGAGAAGGGUUUUCUAAUAGGGGUGGGCACAGGCCAGGUUGGGCCCAAAUUUGUAGGAACUGGACUUGACCCAUUUUAAAAUGCAACGGGGCAGGCCAAGCCGGGUAUAUGAAUUUUGAGAUUUGGAACCGGACCUAACCCGGCCCGUUUUAAACGGACCGAUUCGGGCUGAGUCCACGGGUCCAAUUUACUUUUCUUUUUUUUUAUAUAAGAAUAGGUUGUUUGGAUUGUGUAUAGAAAAUCUGUAUCAUCUACUUUAUAAAUAUUUGCUCGAGUACAGACUAUUGCAUUAAAAGAGAAAUUACAGGCUAACUUAGCGACUAUAUAAAUCAUUUGAACAUAUAGAAUAACAGCCUUCUCCCAGUUCUCAUCAAGUUCUAAACAAUGAGAAAGGCUCUGCUGUUAGUACAAGGCGUUCACAGCCUUCUCCCUGUUCUCAGAGGGGUGAAAUACAUAUUUCCUUGCCAAUAGUUACAAAUAAAAGCUUAUAAAGAGGAGUUUACAUUCAAAUCCAAUUUGCAUGAAAUGGUCAUAGUUAAAACUUAAAAGGGAUUUUGAAUACCUACUCCUGAUCAUAUUGCAUCUCAACGUCAAAUUGGGGAUUUCGAAUCGAUUAAAUUUCAGAACUUGAAUCAAGUGGACUUGCAUAUUAUCAGAGAUUGUUGGUCCACAAUGAAACUAAAUGCGGCUGUGUAACUUAAUUGACUGGAAUUACAAAAUUCUCCACUAAAUUUUCUCAUCGACCAACAAUUAUCUAAUUACAUUACUUGGAUUUACAGAAACGUUCCACCAAUCAACCAAACAUAAUCUAAAUAAAAAUACCAAAAUCUGAAACAGAAGAUUCAAAUAUAUACAAGGCGGAAACUAUCACAGGACACACAUAUAUUCAAAUUCAAUUUAAUUCAACAGAAGAUUCAAAUUCAAUUCACCUAAGAUUUGAAAUUCGAACAGAACAGAGGUCAAGAUUCAAGAACCCAACAAAAUCCCUAAAUCUAGUGCACCAUUAAUAUCUCCCGUUCGAGCACAACAAUUUUGGUUAUGUUAAUCAGAGCAUCAGCAUGUGCGGCUUUCAUUCGGUAAUCUUAGGAAGGCAAAUUUAUGAACCUUCCAAUUCAUAUAAGGCAAAUUUAUAGAUUUGGUUUGGGGUUUUCUUGAAAUCCCAUAUGAUUACUGAAUGCAGAGACUCAGAGAUUGCUGAGUCAAAAAGGGCAUAUAUCUAGAAAACCCUAAAUCCCUAAAUCUAAAAAAUUAAUCAGAGAGAAUCAGAGAUUGCAGAAUGCAGAGACUCCAAAGAGUAAAGAUUUAAGAAAAUAUACUACCUUAAUUUGGGAGGACAUGAGAUGAAGGUGGUCAAUUUCGAUUUGCAGGAUGAUGGUGGUGUUCCAGAUGGCGAUGAUGGGGUAGUCGCGAUUGGGACGAGGCGGCGGUGAUGUGGUUGGUGAUGGUGGUCGUACCUCGCAAGUCGCCAGAGAGGGAGAGACAGAGAUGGAGAAUUGGCGAUGGCUGCUGUCAAGGAGGAGAGGAAGGUUUCUGUCUGAGAUGAGACUCGGUAAGGAAAAAAAUCCAAUCGAAUGGUGGAGAAGUGUGGAGCUGCG